rnacentral:rRNA from 1 species
GAACGCUGGCGGCAGGCCGUAACACAUGCAAGUCGAACGGUAACAGGAAGCAGCUUGCUGCUUUGCUGACGAGUGGCGGACGGGUGAGUAAUGUCUGGGAAACUGCCUGAUGGAGGGGGAUAACUACUGGAAACGGUAGCUAAUACCGCAUAACGUCGCAAGACCAAAGAGGGGGACCUUCGGGCCUCUUGCCAUCAGAUGUGCCCAGAUGGGAUUAGCUUGUUGGUGGGGUAACGGCUCACCAAGGCGACGAUCCCUAGCUGGUCUGAGAGGAUGACCAGCCACACUGGAACUGAGACACGGUCCAGACUCCUACGGGAGGCAGCAGUGGGGAAUAUUGCACAAUGGGCGCAAGCCUGAUGCAGCCAUGCCGCGUGUAAUGAAGAAGGCCUUCGGGUUGUAAAGUACUUUCAGCGGGGAGGAAGGUGUUGUGGUUAAUAACCACAGCAAUUGACGUUACCCGCAGAAGAAGCACCGGCUAACUCCGUGCCAGCAGCAGC